rnacentral:rRNA from 1 species
AGGGUUCGAUUAUGGCUCAGGAUGAACGCUGGCUGUAUGCCUAACACAUGCAAGUCGUACGAGAGUUUUUAGCUCUAGUGGCGGACGGGUGAGUAACACGUGAGAAUUUGCCUUUAGGAGGGGGAUAACAAUUGGAAACGACUGCUAAUACCCCAUAUGCUUCCGAGUGAAAUGGAUUUAUAUUUAUCCGCCUAAAGAGAAGCUCGCGGCUGAUUAGCUUGUUGGUAAGGUAAGAGCUUACCAAGGCGACGAUCAGUAUCUGGUUUGAGAGGACGACCAGACACACUGGAACUGAGACACGGUCCAGACUCCUACGGGAGGCAGCAGUGGGGAAUUUUCCGCAAUGGGCGAAAGCCUGACGGAGCAAUACAGCGUGAGGGAAGACUGCCUAUGGGUUGUAAACCUCUUUUUUCAGGGAGGAAUAAAAUGACGUGUACCUGAAGAAUAAGCAUCGGCUAACUCCGUGCCAGCAGCCGCGGUAAGACGGAGGAUGCAAGUGUUAUCCGGAAUCACUGGGCGUAAAGCGUCUGUAGGUGGUUUAAUAAGUCAACUGUUAAAUCUUGAGGCUCAACCUCAAAAUCGCAGUCGAAACUAUUAGACUAGAGUAUAGUAGAGGUAAAGGGAAUUUCCAGUGGAGCGGUGAAAUGCGUAGAUAUUGGAAAGAACACCGAUGGCGAAAGCACUUUACUGGGCUAUUACUAACACUCAGAGACGAAAGCUAGGGUAGCAAAUGGGAUUAGAUACCCCAGUAGUCCUAGCCGUAAACUAUGGAUACUAGAUGUUGAACAGAUCGACCUGUGCAGUAUCAAAGCUAACGCGUUAAGUAUCCCGCCUGGGAAGUAUGCUCGCAAGAGUGAAACUCAAAUG